UACGUAGGGAGCAAGCGUUGUCCGGAAUCAUUGGGCGUAAAGGGCGCGUAGGUGGCGGGACAAGCGUGCGGUGAAAGCCUGGGGCUCAACCCCGGGUCGGCCGUGCGAACUGUUUUGCUUGAGCACUGUAGAGGCAGGCGGAAUUCCGGGUGUAGCGGUGGAAUGCGUAGAGAUCCGGAAGAACACCGGUGGCGAAGGCGGUUGCCUGGAGCUUUGCUGACGCUGAGGCGCGAAAGCGUGGGGAGCGAUCCGG
rnacentral:rRNA from 1 species